rnacentral:rRNA from 1 species
GAUGAACGCUGGCGGCGUGCCUAAUACAUGCAAGUCGAGCGAACAGACGAGGAGCUUGCUCCUCUGACGUUAGCGGCGGACGGGUGAGUAACACGUGGAUAACCUACCUAUAAGACUGGGAUAACUUCGGGAAACCGGAGCUAAUACCGGAUACAUGUUGAACCGCAUGGUUCAACAGUGAAAGACGGUCUUGCUGUCACUUAUAGAUGGAUCCGCGCCGCAUUAGCUAGUUGGUAAGGUAACGGCUUACCAAGGCAACGAUGCGUAGCCGACCUGAGAGGGUGAUCGGCCACACUGGAACUGAGACACGGUCCAGACUCCUACGGGAGGCAGCAGUAGGGAAUCUUCCGCAAUGGGCGAAAGCCUGACGGAGCAACGCCGCGUGAGUGAUGAAGGUCUUCGGAUCGUAAAACUCUGUUAUUAGGGAAGAACAAAUGUGUAAGUAACUAUGCACGUCUUGACGGUACCUAAUCAGAAAGCCACGGCUAACUACGUG